rnacentral:rRNA from 1 species
AGUGUGAUAAGGGAACCCUAAGUGCUCAUGCAUUGCAUGGGCUUUUGCUAAGAGUAAAUAUCUUGGAGAAUAAGUGGUGGGUAAGACUGGUGCCAGCCGCCGCGGUAACACCAGCGCCACAAGUGGCAACCGCGUUUAUUGGGCCUAAAGCGUCCGUAGCCGGUUAAGUAAAUCUCUUGUGAAAUCGUUAGGCUCAACCUAACGGCGCGCAUGAGACACUGCUUAACUAGAGACCGGGAGGAGUCAGAGGUAUUUCACGGGGAGCGGUAAAAUGUGAUAAUCCGUGGAAGAUCACCUAUGGCGAAGGCAUCUGACCAGAACGGAUCUGACGGUCAGGGACGAAGGCUAGGGGAGCGAUCCGGAUUAGAUACUCGAGUAGUCCUAGCAGUAAACGCUGUGAGCUAGAUGUUGCGUUUCUCACGAGGAUGCGCAGUAUCGAAAGGAAGCUGUUUAGCUCACCGCCUGGGAAGUACGGUCGCAAGUGUGAUAAAGUGUGAUAAAGUGUGAUAA